GACGAACGCUGGCGGCGUGCUUAACACAUGCAAGUCGAACGGAAAGGCCCUGCUUUUGUGGGGUGCUCGAGUGGCGAACGGGUGAGUAACACGUGAGUAACCUGCCCUUGACUUUGGGAUAACUUCAGGAAACUGGGGCUAAUACCGGAUAGGAGCUCCUGCUGCAUGGUGGGGGUUGGAAAGUUUCGGCGGUUGGGGAUGGACUCGCGGCUUAUCAGCUUGUUGGUGGGGUAGUGGCUUACCAAGGCUUUGACGGGUAGCCGGCCUGAGAGGGUGACCGGCCACAUUGGGACUGAGAUACGGCCCAGACUCCUACGGGAGGCAGAAGUGGGGAAUAUGGCACAAUGGGCGGAAGCCUGAUGCAGCAACGCCGCGUGCGGGAUGACGGCCUUCGGGUUGUAAACCGCUUUCGCCUGUGACGAAGCGUGAGUGACGGUAAUGGGUAAAGAAGCACCGGCUAACUACGUG
rnacentral:rRNA from 1 species